CGAUGAGCCGUGGGUCACGACGUUUCGCCAGUUCUGAUCCGUGGAACAGGAACGUGGCUUUUCUGGUAGUGCGGCCGCAUAGAGUUAUUGUAGGGUUCGUUUCCUCUCUGAAACUUGUAGAGGCGAAUCCGGGGUAGGAGAUCUGCUGAAUAUGCUAUCUGUUGUAUAUCCGUACCAGAUCCCCUGUGCUUUAAGAGGUCGAGGACAAUGAAGCUCCCCAUGGAUCUGCCACCUUCCACGGUGGCUGCUUUGGUGGGGAAGCUGGAACAAGCGCCGGCGCCAGUCUUGACUGUAGGCGCGCAGAUCUGGGAUGAAGAAGCCGUGGUGAUUGGAGGAAGGAAGAACUCACCCCCGGUGUCCGCGCAGUCGACCAGCAAGCCCGGGGUGGACUAAGAGUUUUCAGGCUAGCUUGGCGUCUCCCACGGCAGCGUGUCCUCGACGGAGUGCUGCAUGCGUGGCAGCCGCGACCGUCCUCUUGCGAUGGUGCGGGGUUACCGACAUGGCGCUUGCUUGGUGCCUCCCGCGAUAGCGACGCAACCUUGCGGCAUGGUGCAGCCAUGUUAGUGGUCACCCUCUCUCUUACGAUGGUGCGGGCAUGGUAGCGGCAGUCACCCUCUAUCUUCGGGGCAGCCAUGGAAGUGGCAGUCAUCCUCCCAGCAGCGAGGGCGAGCAAUGGCGACGGUCAGCGAGCGUGUUGUUUUUUGGCCGCACAGCACACAUUGUUGUUACUCGUAUUUGUUUCCACCUUGCUGCUGUUGGAUGGCGCAUGAAUGGUGAUGUGAAUUGGACGUCCCUCUACUGAAAAUGUUUCAAUCAUAUGGUGCCAACACUGGAUCUCCUUACAGGAGAAGGUUUUGCUGAGUUUGGCCCGGAUGGUGAGUUGACAACCAUUGGAUGAACAUGUGUGACACAUGAUCAUUUACAAGGAGGGAUGAAUGUAUGGCACAUGGGCAAUGA